rnacentral:misc_RNA from 1 species
UGUACUACUAAUAUACAUAAUUCCCUUCUAAUGAGUAUGACAACACAAUAUGAACGCAGCUUAAUGUUUUUGAGUUGUUUACGAUAAUCUAAUAAAGAAAAUGUAAAAGUUCGUAAAAUUUCAAGAUAAACAGAAAUGAGUAUUAAAAUUGGAAAUUGGAAAAUAUUCAUACAUUUUUAAUAGUGUUAUCUCUGUCGUGACUAUGAAUGAGAAAAACUCGGAAGGCGUCCAAGACGCCUUUACGAACGGCGGGCGCAGAGUGACCCAAAUUAUUGACCAGCUCGGGUACCACUGGUUGCAUGACCUUGUCCACGAUGUCAGCAUUCAAAGUCGGUAACACGUCUAUAAGCACACGAAGAGCGUGCUGGCGCACCUCCCAUUCUGGAUCACGCAGUCUCUCGGAUAUCUCCAGGAACGUCGAAUGGGUAUCCACUUCGCUUGGAAAUUUUCGGAGAGGAGUCAGUUGUAUUGGUUGGCCGUUCGGUGAGGUCAAUGUCAUCUUUCGAGAGUGUCGUUGACGGUGAGCUCGACGAGUUGGGCUCUCAGGUGUUGAAUAAAGAUCGAGAGGAGAGGAUCGUGCCGGAAGUGGCGAGGAAUCCUUCUGGGGCUGCAGAGGCCCCGAAUUCGUCGAUCCUGUCAUAGAUAAAGUAAACUCCAGGCACUUGGACAUACCACCGUUACGUCUCGUCUGAAGGAAACCAUGGGUCCUUCAUCGUCUUCCAUGAGGAUUGUUUUUCUGAUUCUGGAUCGUUCAUCGAGUCACGCAAACGACAGGCCUGAUAGACAGAUUCGUUAGAUAUUUACUGUGGGCCAAGUAACGCUGUAACGCUAGUACACCUGUGAUGUUCGAUAUAUUCAAUGACCUAUAUGCAUGAUGAAAUGUUACAACAUAAUAUUCUAAAAUUCAUUUAUCAAUUUUUAAAUUAUUUUUAAAUAGCAUUUUUAAAUCAAGUGGAAAUCAUAAUGAUAGAUGUGAAUUAAUAUUUAUCCAGUAAUAUUAUUAAUUUAUAUUAAUGAUCCAUUCCGGUCCAAAAUAUAUAAUUCUUGUUUGUAAUAUAAUUUUGUUGAAUAUUACAAUUUUCUGUAAACCACGACAAUAGAAGCAGUGGAAUUGUACAUAUGUAAAUGAAUUAUACAACUAUAGCAGAUGUGUAAAACUAUCGUUUCCCUUCUCGAGAUGCGUAUACAAUAUAUCCACUUGCAUCGUUGACAAUAGCUAAUAAAAAUGUUUUUACUGAGUAUACUUGGACCUACAAGAACUUUGAAUUAGUUAAAAGUAUAUAGCACGGAAUUAUAU